GACGAACGCUGGCGGCGUGCCUAAUACAUGCAAGUCGAACGCAGUGGGGACGGGUGAGUAACACGUGGGUCACCUCCCAUCAGAGGGGAUAACACUUGGAAACAGGUGCUAAACCGAUACUGAUGGAUGGACCCGCGGUGCAUUAGCUAGUUGGUGAGGUAACGGCUCACCAAGGCCACGAUGCAUAGCCGACCUGAGGGGGUGAUCGGCUACACGGGGACUGAGACACGGCCCAGACUCCUAAGGGAGGCAGCAGUAGAGAAUCUUCGGCAAGGGACGAGAGGCUGACCUAGCAACGUCGCGUGAGUGAAGAAGGUGUGCGGAUCGUAAAACUCUGUUGUUAUAGAAGCGGUAUCUAACCAGAAAGCCACGGCUAACUACGUGCCAGCCGCCGCGGUAAUUC
rnacentral:rRNA from 1 species